rnacentral:misc_RNA from 1 species
GAUGAAGAACGCAGCGAAAUGCGAUAAGUAAUGCGAAUUGCAGAAUUCCAGUGAGUCAUCGAAUCUUUGAACGCACAUUGCGCCCUUUGGUAUUCCGAAGGGCAUGCCUGUUCGAGCGUCAUUAUCACCCCUCGAGCCCUCGGCUUGGUGUUGGACGGUUUGGUGGAGGCCCCCUCGGGGGCUCCUGCCCCUCCCAAAGACAAUGACGGCGGCCUCGUUGGACCCCCGGUACACUGAGUUCUUCACGGGACACGUAUCGGACACAUGGGUUUACGGGACACGGUCUGCCUCCCCUCAGGGAGAAUCUUUCUAAGGUUGACCUCGGAUCAGGUAGGGAUACCCGCUGAACUUAAGCAUAUCAAUAAGCGGAGGA